CACCAGCAUCCGACUGAACUGGAACCAAAUCCGAACAGCCAGAGGCUACCGACUGGAGUGGUAUAAAGAAGGAGAGAGCAACAACAUUCAAAAACAGAACUUCUCUCAGUCUACCACAAGCUAUGAGCUCAGAGAUCUUCAGCCAAGUACUGAUUACAUCAUAACUCUGUACACACUCUACGAAGGACGAGAGGAGUCCACAACAGUGUCUAGUGUGGUUGGUAUAGUCACCGAUCUCCGAGUGCUCGAGACAUUUGGCAGUACUGUACGGCUGGGAUGGAUAAGGGUGCUCGGAGCAACGCAGUACAGCAUUCUCAUACUGAACACUGAAUCUGGGUUAGAGCAAAACCUGGUUGUUCCUGGAAACCAGACAACAGUUGACUUGAGCGACCUUAUAGAAGGUGUA